rnacentral:lncRNA from 1 species
AGUACGGAGUGAAAUUGUGAUAACUCCUGGCACAACCAUUAAGACCCUCAUCUAUAGUGGACUGGAACAAAGCACAGGUUCAGUUAAUCUCUUCUUCUGGGCAAUUUGUGAGCACCUGCCAAACUCUGAGAUUGACAAUGCUUAAUGUGGAGGGUGAAGAUGUCUACCUUGAGGCAUUGUUUCAUCUUGCUGCCAAAGCAGCUGGCAAUGCCUUCCAUCGCUGCAGAGGCUGCUGGCACCAACACCAUGGCUGCUUUGUGCUCCCCAAGUCCUAUGGAGAUGUUUGAGCUUUUACUCACUUGUUAAUUACAGGUCUUAAAGACUCAGGCAUAAACCAAUGGGAUAUCAUGGGAAGGGAGCUGUGAAUGACUAACUGAAUUCCAAUUGAGAAUAAUUCCUCCAAUCUUAUGCUGGUCUUUGAACCACAUUUUUGCAACCAGUUUUUCUUAAUAAAAAUCACACUUUCCCCAGAAA